GCCUUUAAGACCUUGAAGUCUAUGGAGGACAACGAGAGUGAGGCUGAUUUUGUGUUUCCUGAUGGGAAAUUAAGGCAGAGUUCCCAUCAGGGUCGGCUGUGUUGAUAAUGACUUCUAUCUUGUGAGCUAAAACAUCUCACCAUCUCUUCAAUAUUUAUUGACUACCCAAGACUGUGCACUAGGAUAUUUUAAAGAUGAUAUGAUUCCCACUUCAGAUGUGAUAUACAGUGAUUAAACCGUAUUCUCACAAGUGGGGUCUAAGUAGUGCCUGAGCUUACGUACACACGUAUUUCUCUCUGAGGUUUGGUCAUCUUAUCUGCAAAUGUUCAUACUGGGAAACACAGUUACCAGUGUUAAAGCCAACGGAAUUGUUGUGCCCUGACAUAUCAGCUUUUAUGUCAGAAUUUUUGACAUAUCAAAAAUUCCUCUAGCAAUGGGAAUUUUCCAGUCUUAAUCAAGUGAUAAACAAAAGAUAUUAGAGCCAAUAUUUGAAAGAACAUUUUUUUUUGGCUGACUUUUUAAAGAACCAUUAAAGCAGAAGUUCAAAUUCCCCUUGGACCUGAGGGUUUGUCAGUCCUUGUAGUUGCUAAUGCCAGUCGUAAGGUUGAAUUCAUU
rnacentral:lncRNA from 1 species